CUCCAUCUUGUGUUUUCUGAGAGUGUCUCAGAUCUGAGACUCCUCCUCCUACUUCUCAUCUUUAGAAGAGUCUAAAUCAAGAAGAAGGAGGUACCUGAUCAACCAUCGAAGAAGGAUCAGUGCAGUACUAGUAUACUGUGCUGAUUUUCUGGAGCAGGACUUCUGAUCGAGAUUCGUGGGCCCGUGUGGAUGACUCCUAG
rnacentral:lncRNA from 1 species